rnacentral:lncRNA from 10 species
GCUCCUACUGACACAAUAAUGAGCCCAUCACCCCCUGAGCUGGAUUCGCUACCACCUUCCAGCAGAUGCAGAGGGCAGGAGGGAGGACUGGGGUCGUCGGAUGGGUGAUAUAUGCCUAGCAGUACCCAAAGCCUUCCUGAUCUGGAUCUCAGAGUCUAUGCAAGAUGUAGAAGUGACUGCUGAGCACCCGCUGUGCACAGAUCAUUAAGCCAGUGCUGAAGAGGCAGUGCCUCUGAUUAUGAGCGCACCCUCAAGUUCGCCCAAAGUGCAGUGUGGAGGGAGGAUUCCUGAAUUUGGAGGCCUCAGUGGGAACAGAUAGACCCAAGAGGAAACAAACUAGGAGUCCAGUCAAGCCACUGGAGGCCCAGAGGAUGUUGCAAGGACAGCAGACAUGUGGUUUAGAGGAACAGGGGGCAGACAGGCAGCAGAGUCCAGCAAUAGCUGAGACAAUGGUACAAGGGAGGCUGCCUAAUUUAUAGCACCCCACGGUCCCCAAGUGCUGAUUGUGGCCCAAGAGGAGUCAGAGACCAGCAGAGACAAGGUCUCACUGUAUUGCUGAGUCUGGCCUCAAACUCCUAGGAUCAAGCAAUCCUCCUACCUCGAUCUCCCAAAGUGUUAGGAUUACAGAGACACAUGGUAGAAUUGCACUUCCUGGCUCACCUUUGGCUGAAUGGGGCCAUGUGACUAGUCAUAGCCAAGGAAUUAUGACUUCUGCCUUGAAGCAUUUAAUCACCUGGUUCGAGACCCUCCAGAACUCAUUUCCCCAUGGCACAGCAACUGGAAAUAUUUAAGGUCAUAUUCUGGUUCAAACAGACUGGAG